CAGGGUGGACCUCAUUUACUGUUUGUGGAAAACUACGGCGGUUGGUGAAAGUGCAAAAGGUUGGCCAUGCUGGUACUCUGGAUCCUAUGGCCACUGGAUUGUUGAUUGUUUGUGUGGGCAAAGCAACCAAAGUUGUUGAUAGAUAUCAAGGCAUGGUUAAAGGCUAUAGUGGUGUUUUCCGGCUUGGGAAAGCAAC